AGCGAACGCUGGCGGCAGGCCUAACACAUGCAAGUCGAACGAACUCUUCGGAGUUAGUGGCGGACGGGUGAGUAACACGUGGGAACGUGCCUUUUGGUUCGGAAUAACUCAGGGAAACUUGUGCUAAUACCGAAUGUGCCCUUCGGGGGAAAGAUUUAUCGCCAUUAGAGCGGCCCGCGUCUGAUUAGCUAGUUGGUGAGGUAACGGCUCACCAAGGCGACGAUCAGUAGCUGGUCUGAGAGGAUGACCAGCCACACUGGGACUGAGACACGGCCCAGACUCCUACGGGAGGCAGCAGUGGGGAGUCUUGCGGAAUGGGCGAAAGCCUGACGAGGCCAUGCCGCGUGAAUGAUGAAGGUCUUAGGAUUGUAAAAUUCUUUCACCGGGGACGAUAAUGACGGUACCCGGAGAAGAAGCCCCGGCUAACUUCGUG
rnacentral:rRNA from 1 species